rnacentral:misc_RNA from 1 species
UAUCCGCAGACAAAAAAAUUCGUAAUUUACAGUUUGCGUGGGCCGUUCGUAGCAUGAGACACUGAAACGCCAUUCGCUUGUUGCACUUUUUCAAAGCGACCAUUUCGUUGGGGAUUUUCAUACGGACGGUGCAUCACAGUCGGCAAAAUUGCAAUUUACACGGUGGUGGCAAUAAAAGAUCAUUGAUCAAUUAUCCAAGAAGUUACGACCCGCGACCUUGAUGGCCACCAGUGGGAUGAGGAUGACAGAGAUCGCUUUGCAUCGACAAGUGUCUUAAUUCUAUCGUAAGUUAACAAAAUGGCGCAGCGAUGAUCAAUAGGUGCUGUAAACAUACAUGUCAUUGCAUCUCAAGAAUAUAAUUGAGUAAAUUGUUCUUUUUAAUAUCCCGCCGCCCGCACCGAGCUAUAAAAAUCCUCGUGAAAGAUGGCGGAUUCCGAUAAUCACACCGCUAAAAAAACCAUUUCAAGCAGCACCAGCUUCAUCAAUACAAGGUUACGAACGACUCACAGAGGGAUGAAGAACGGAAAAUUCUGCAAACGAAGUGGAGUCCCCAUCACGUCAAAGAGGAUGUCCGAGUUCCCAGUGGAGGGCGGUGAAAAUGGAGAUAUGCACUCCGUCAUUGAAAAUUUUCAGAAAAAGAGCAAUCUUAUUUCUGGAAGAACCGGACAUCACACCCACGUCUCUCAUUCCCAUCAUCCUCAAGUUACCACGUCGUCACAGAUGCUGACAAAUCAGAGUCAAACCAGCAGUACCUCGAGUAGAGUCGCUCAGCAGACCUCCCAGAGGAUUCUAACCUCCUCGUCGACGAGGGAGAUGAACGCUAGCAACGUCAAAGUUAAGGACGGACUGAACGAAUUGAAGAGAGGUAUUACGGAGAUGAAAAAUAUGUCAUCUAAUUUCUCACGCCUGAGGAGCAGCAUGGAAAACCUCGUCGACAGAGAUGGCAGCGGUCCGGAAGAAAAUCUCUCAGAACCUUUGGUGACGUUUCCGGAUCCAGAUACGCCCCCACCGGUAACUGGAACUGUCACCUUAACGGGGGGAUCGCCUUCGCAGCUAAAUUCAUUGAACUCUUUGAACAAUUUACACAACAUGAGCCCACCCAUGAGCAUGUCGAAUAUGCCGACGAUAACGAGUAUGUCGAGUAUACCGGCUGGACCAGAAACUAUGAAAUUCGAACAGAAGAAAAUGACCAGUGCUUCGAAAACUAAGGUUGUCACCGACGGAUUCAGUGCUGAAAAAGCAACUGCCAACAGUGCUGAGAUGAGGGCAUUACAAACCGGCGAUGUUUCUUAUAAAGAACAAAGCGCCGCAACGGCAGCUAGAGCACGAGUAGAACUCGAUGGUGUUUCUGCAGAAAAAAGCGUAGCUUUGGCGAGGGAGCAGCGCAGUCUGAAAGCUGGUGAUCUGUCCCACCAGGAAAGUAACAAUAUGUCUCAAUCUACUAUGAAGGUCCAGAGCGAUUCGUACAGUUCCGAAAAGAAAGCGAUGGCAGCCCAACAACAGAGACAAACGGUGACGUCGACAGGGAUUUUCAAUCAUGAAAAACACAUGGCAGCGAGCUCUCAAUCCAGUGUGACGAUUGCCUCGAAAGGUGUGAGCUCCAAAGCGUCUAUGAUCUCCGCAACCUCUGCAGUAAACCAGCUCAUGAAUGGCAUGAGACCAGCGGAGGACGAACUUCUUUCUCUUCCACUUGACGAUCUGGAUCUCUUGUGUUCAAACUCAAAUCCACAGGACGUGGAACGGGCCAUUGCCAAGUACUCCACAUUUCUGGAUAGCCUGGUUCAAAGACUGAAGUCUAAUGAUGGCAAGAACCCCAAAGCGCCACUUUUACUCGAUAGGGUCAGUGAAAUCAUUAGAAAAGCUUGGGCCGUUCCAACACAUGGCCACGAACUAGGUUACGCCCUAUGCAACACUUUGAGGGGUCGUGGUGGCCUCGAUAUUCUUAUAUCGAAUUGUAUUGACGUGAAUAGCGAACUUCAGUUCUCUUCUGCCAGACUUUUGGAACAAUGUUUAACAAAUGACAACAGAGCCCAUGUCGUAGAACACGGUCUAGCGAACGUUGUAAGGGUUGCCUGUGUAUGCACAAAAAAUGCUAACUCUGUCGAUCACUCAAGGGUUGGUACUGGAAUACUUGAACAUCUUUUCAAACAUAGCGAAGGAACCUGUAGCGAUGUUAUCAGGCUUGGUGGACUCGAUGCCGUACUUUUUGAAUGCAGGAAAAACGAUAUUGAGACGCUCAGACACUGUGCAGGGGCGCUCGCUAAUUUAUCACUUUAUGGGGGUGCUGAAAACCAGGAAGCAAUGAUCAAAAGGAAGGUACCUAUGUGGUUGUUCCCACUAGCAUUCCACAACGAUGACAAUAUCAAGUAUUACGCGUGCUUGGCUAUCGCAGUCUUGGUUGCAAACAAAGAAAUUGAAGCUGCGGUUCUUAAGUCUGGUACACUCGAUCUCGUAGAACCCUUCGUUACAUCUCAUAAUCCCUCUGAAUUUGCAAAAUCGAAUCUCGCCCACGCUCAUGGCCAGAGCAAGAAUUGGCUCGAGCGUUUGGUACCAGUGCUUAGUUCGAAGAGAGAGGAAGCCAGGAAUCUGGCUGCUUUUCAUUUCUGCAUGGAAGCUGGUAUCAAAAAACAGCAGGGCAACACCGAGAUUUUCCGAGAAAUUGGUGCCAUUGAACCAUUGAAAAAAGUCGCUAGCUGUCCGAAUGCCAUUGCCUCAAAAUACGCCGUUCAGGCUCUCAGACUCAUCGGCGAAGAGAUUCCACACAAACUCAGUCAACAAGUGCCUCUUUGGUCUACAGAAGAUGUACGCGAAUGGGUCAAGCAGAUUGGAUUUGCGGAAUAUGCAUCAAAUUUUGUAGAAAGCAGAGUAGACGGUGAUCUCCUUUUGCAAUUGACGGAGUCGAAUCUGACAGAGGACAUUGGACUGACGAAUGGAAUCAGGCGAAGGAGGUUCACAAGAGAGUUACAAAACCUCAAAAAAAUGGCAGACUAUAGCAGCAGGGAUCCUACCAAUUUGAAUAGCUUCCUGGAAGAGAUUGGCCAAGAAUUUUCCAUUUACACCUACGGCAUGUUAAAUGCUGGCGUUGACAAAGACUCGAUUAGGAAUUUAUCUGAAGACCAGCUAGUCACAGAAUGCAGUAUAACGAACAGCAUUCACAGGUUAAGGAUACUCGAUGCCAUUAAAAAUAUUCAGCAUAGUCCAGGCUUCAAUUCCUCUGAAGAUGAAUCCCUUAACAAAAAGCUAGACGUUUUCGUUAGCUACAGAAGAUCAAAUGGUUCACAACUAGCCAGCUUACUAAAAGUCCAUCUACAGUUACGCAGCUUCUCCGUAUUCAUAGACGUUGAGAGAUUGGAGGCUGGUAAAUUCGAUAACAAUCUUCUACAAAGCAUCAGACAAGCCAAACACUUUCUACUCGUUCUCACACCUAAAGCCUUGGACCGAUGUAUACAAGACACGGAAUGCAAAGACUGGGUGCACAGGGAAAUUGUUGCAGCCUUACAAUCACAAUGCAAUAUUAUUCCCAUAAUAGACAAUUUCCAAUGGCCAGAGCCAGAGGAACUUCCAGAAGACAUGAGAGCUGUUUGUCACUUCAACGGUGUUCGUUGGAUACACGAUUACCAGGAUGCAUGCGUAGACAAACUUGAGAGGUUUAUGCGUGGUGAAAUUCCUACGAGGUCUGAGUUAUCCGGUGGCAUACCCAGAAGUAUUGCCUCAAAGGAUGUGACACAGCCGAGUACGCCAGGAAGCACGAACAUGCGACAACCCAGUUACCAACGCAUGCACAGUAACGAAAGUAGGGGGAGUGAUAAAGAUUCAACGAAUGGUAGAGAUUGACUAGAUGGCCCUCCCACAGCUAUACCCAACAGCCAGGAAUAGAAAUCGCAGUAAUGCUAACACGAUUAGGCUAAGGAAAUCUUCUAGUCCAUCUCGCUGGUUGAUGGGUCUACCGCCA